rnacentral:tRNA from 1 species
GCCUGGGUGGCUCAGUCGGUUAAGCGUCCGACUUCGGCUCGGGUCAUGAUCUCACGGUUCGUGGGUUCGAGCCCCGCAUCGGGCU